UACGUAGGGGGCAAGCGUUGUCCGGAAUCAUUGGGCGUAAAGAGCGUGUAGGCGGCCCGGUAAGUCCGCCGUGAAAGUCCAGGGCUCAACCCUGGAAUGCCGGUGGAAACUGCCGGGCUGGAGUCCGGAAGAGGCGAGUGGAAUUCCUGGUGUAGCGGUGAAAUGCGCAGAUAUCAGGAGGAACACCCGUGGCGAAGGCGGCUUUCUGGGACGGUACUGACGCUGAGGAGCGAAAGUGUGGGGAGCGAACAGG
rnacentral:rRNA from 1 species